AUGAGGUUUUACUACCAAUCUAAUCCUGAACAAUUUUUGUACAAGUUGGUAGCACCCUCGCCACUAGAUUCAUCACCAGAUUCACUUGUUGCGGCAUUGAUCAUUGGUGAUGGGAAUAUGAAAAGACUUUGUGUGAGCCAGCCAUCAAUUGUCACUUGCUCGUUCAGAUUCAACAUGCGACCAUUACCGGACCUAUUGGAUGUUGCAUUCUUGGAUGGAAAGUUGUACGUGUUAUCAGGCAGUGGCAAGCUCUUCAUCCUUGAGUUCUGCAAGAAUCUUGCUAGCAAUUCAAACAUCAAAUCCAUAAUUGACGAUUAUGUUGAUUUUCUUCAUGUGCCAGAAUGCUUUCCGAGAGAGGAGAUGUAUGUGCUCAAGUUCUAUCUAGUUGAAUGUGGUGGUGGACUGUUGGUGGUGAAACGAUUUAUUCGUGUCAUGGGCCCUUUUGUCAUGGCCAGGGACAAUCCCUUUGGAAACACCCAGACUGUUGGAUUUGAUGUCCUCAAGGCAGACCUGCACUCUAACCCUUGCCAGUGGAGAAGGAUCAGUGAGUUGGGUGGACAUGCUCUCUUUGUUGGCCAGCAUGGCUCCAAGUCUCUGCCUGCUACAGAAUGCUGUGGAUCCCAAGAGGAUUGCAUCUACUUCGUUUUUGACUAUCCGCGUACAGAGUUUUCUCCGAAUCCAUGUCACGACUGUGGUGUGUACAACAUGCGGAAUGGGAGCGUCACGCCGUUGAUGUCUGAGACUGCAGCACCUGCACAUCAUGCCGGCCAGUGGCGUUCGACGUGGGUUUUCCAUGCUGCAGCUGUGUGA
rnacentral:rRNA from 1 species